GAUGAACGCUGGCGGCGUGCCUAAUACAUGCAAGUCGAGCGAACGGACGAGAAGCUUGCUUCUCUGAUGUUAGCGGCGGACGGGUGAGUAACACGUGGAUAACCUACCUAUAAGACUGGGAUAACUUCGGGAAACCGUAGCUAAUACCGGAUAAUAUUUUGAACCGCAUGGUUCAAAAGUGAAAGACGGUCUUGCUGUCACUUAUAGAUGGAUCCGCGCUGCAUUAGCUAGUUGGUAAGGUAACGGCUUACCAAGGCAACGAUGCAUAGCCGACCUGAGAGGGUGAUCGGCCACACUGGAACUGAGACACGGUCCAGACUCCUACGGGAGGCAGCAGUAGGGAAUCUUCCGCAAUGGGCGAAAGCCUGACGGAGCAACGCCGCGUGAGUGAUGAAGGUCUUCGGAUCGUAAAACUCUGUUAUUAGGGAAGAACAUAUGUGUAAGUAACUGUGCACAUCUUGACGGUACCUAGUCAGAAAGCCACGGCUAACUACGUGCCAGCAGCCGCGGUAAUACGUAGGUGGCAAGCGUUAUCCGGAAUUAUUGGGCGUAAAGCGCGCGUAGGCGGUUUUUUAAGUCUGAUGUGAAAGCCCACGGCUCAACCGUGGAGGGUCAUUGGAAACUGGAAAACUUGAGUGCAGAAGAGGAAAGUGGAAUUCCAUGUGUAGCGGUGAAAUGCGCAGAGAUAUGGAGGAACACCAGUGGCGAAGGCGACUUUCUGGUCUGUAACUGACGCUGAUGUGCGAAAGCGUGGGGAUCAAACAGGAUUAGAUACCCUGGUAGUCCACGCCGUAAACGAUGAGUGCUAAGUGUUAGGGGGUUUCCGCCCCUUAGUGCUGCAGCUAACGCAUUAAGCACUCCGCCUGGGGAGUACGACCGCAAGGUUGAAACUCAAAGGAAUUGACGGGGACCCGCACAAGCGGUGGAGCAUGUGGUUUAAUUCGAAGCAACGCGAAGAACCUUACCAAAUCUUGACAUCCUUUGACAACUCUAGAGAUAGAGCCUUCCCCUUCGGGGGACAAAGUGACAGGUGGUGCAUGGUUGUCGUCAGCUCGUGUCGUGAGAUGUUGGGUUAAGUCCCGCAACGAGCGCAACCCUUAAGCUUAGUUGCCAUCAUUAAGUUGGGCACUCUAAGUUGACUGCCGGUGACAAACCGGAGGAAGGUGGGGAUGACGUCAAAUCAUCAUGCCCCUUAUGAUUUGGGCUACACACGUGCUACAAUGGACAAUACAAAGGGCAGCGAAACCGCGAGGUCAAGCAAAUCCCAUAAAGUUGUUCUCAGUUCGGAUUGUAGUCUGCAACUCGACUACAUGAAGCUGGAAUCGCUAGUAAUCGUAGAUCAGCAUGCUACGGUGAAUACGUUCCCGGGUCU
rnacentral:rRNA from 1 species